UACAAGAGAAUAUUGACAAAUAAUGACAGUUCAUAUUUUUGUGAGUUGAAUAAUAUUAAAUAUUAUACAGUUUGUCCACUAUACCACGAUGUUAAGCACGAGUUUAUUACUAAUUUUUUUACAUAUCGCAUCCUCGCGGGAAUCACAGAAAAAUAUGAACUGUUUGGAGAAGUCAAAUAUCUCAUGGGAUACGAUAUCCGCUGAUGUGGUUGUGAGACAUAUACGUAUUGGUCAAAUUCCUAUCGACGAAUAUUGUUUUGGAAUUUGUGAAAAAUUUAAAUCUGGCUUAGACAUUUCAGAUAUUGACAAAAAAAUAUGUGACUUCACUAUUAACUGAAACUUUUCAAUUUUUUUUCAUCAAUAAAUCUGUCUAGUUUGU